rnacentral:rRNA from 1 species
AUUGAACGCUGGCGGCAUGCCUUACACAUGCAAGGCGAACGGCAGCACGGGGCAACCUGGUGGCGAGUGGCGAACGGGUGAGUAAUGCAUCGGAACGUACCUUUCAGUGGGGGAUAACGUAGCGAAAGUUACGCUAAUACCGCAUAUUCUGUGAGCAGGAAAGCAGGGGAUCGCAAGACCUUGCGCUGAUUGAGCGGCCGAUGUCAGAUUAGCUAGUUGGUGAGGUAAAGGCUCACCAAGGCGACGAUCUGUAGCGGGUCUGAGAGGAUGAUCCGCCACACUGGAACUGAGACACGGUCCAGACUCCUACGGGAGGCAGCAGUGGGGAAUUUUGGACAAUGGGCGCAAGCCUGAUCCAGCCAUGCCGCGUGAGUGAAGAAGGCCUUCGGGUUGUAAAGCUCUUUCGGCCGGGAAGAAAUCGGUGAGGCUAAUAUCCUCACUGGAUGACGGUACCGGAAUAAGAAGCACCGGCUAACUACGUGCCAGCCGCCGCCGUAA